rnacentral:rRNA from 1 species
AUUGAACGCUGGCGGUAGGCUUAACACAUGCAAGUCGUGCGAGAAAGUAUCUUCGGAUAUGAGUAGAGCGGCGGACGGGUGAGUAACGCGUAGGAAUCUACCUAGUAGAAGGGGAUAGCCCGGGGAAACUCGGAUUAAUACCGUAUACCUCCUUCGGGAGAAAGAAGGCCUCUCUUUGAAGCUUUCGCUACUAGAUGAGCCUGCGUAAGAUUAGCUUGUUGGUGAGGUAAAGGCUCACCAAGGCUACGAUCUUUAGCUGGUCUGAGAGGACGAUCAGCCACAUUGGGACUGAGACACGGCCCAGACUCCUACGGGAGGCAGCAGUGGGGAAUAUUGGACAAUGGGCGCAAGCCUGAUCCAGCCAUACCGCGUGUGUGAAGAAGGCCUUCGGGUUGUAAAGCACUUUAAGCAGGGAGAAAAAGUUAUAGGUUAAUACCCUAUGACCCUGAUGUUACCUGCAGAAUAAGCACCGGCUAAUUCCGUGCCAGCAGCCGCGGUAAUACGGAAGGUGCAAGCGUUAAUCGGAAUUACUGGGCGUAAAGCGCGCGUAGGUGGUUUGUUAAGUUGGAUGUGAAAGCCCUGGGCUCAACCUAGGAACUGCAUCCAAAACUAACUCACUAGAGUACGAUAGAGGGAGGUAGAAUUCAUAGUGUAGCGGUGGAAUGCGUAGAUAUUAUGAAGAAUACCAGUGGCGAAGGCGGCCUCCUGGAUCUGUACUGACACUGAGGUGCGAAAGCGUGGGUAGCGAACAGGAUUAGAUACCCUGGUAGUCCACGCCGUAAA